AGUGAACGCUGGCGGUAGGCCUAACACAUGCAAGUCGAACGGCAGCACAGUAAGAGCUUGCUCUUACGGGUGGCGAGUGGCGUACGGGUGAGGAAUACAUCGGAAUCUACUUUUUCGUGGGGGAUCACGUAGGGAAACUUACGCUAAUACCGCAUACGACCUACGGGUGAAAGCAGGGGAUCUUCGGACCUUGCGCGAUUGAAUGAGCCGCUGUCGGAUUAGCUAGUUGGCGGGGUAAAGGCCCACCAAGGCGCCGAUCCGUAGCUGGUCUGAGAGGAGGAUCAGCCACACGGGAACGGAGACACGGUCCAGACUCCUGCGGGAGGCAGCAGUGGGGAAUAUGGGACAAUGGGCGCAAGCCUGAUCCAGCCAUACCGCGUGGGUGAAGAAGGCCUUCGGGUUGUAAAGCCCUUUUGUUGGGAAAGAAAAGCAGCAGGUUAAUACCCCGCUGUUCUGACGGUACCCAAAGAAUAAGCACCGGCUAACUUCGUG
rnacentral:rRNA from 1 species